rnacentral:rRNA from 1 species
GAUGAACGCUGGCGGCGUGCUUAACACAUGCAAGUCGAACGGAAAGGCCCAAGCUUGCUUGGGUACUCGAGUGGCGAACGGGUGAGUAACACGUGGGUGAUCUGCCCUGCACUUCGGGAUAAGCCUGGGAAACUGGGUCUAAUACCGGAUAGGACCACAUUUUGGAUGGUGUGGUGGAAAGUUUUUCGGUGUGGGAUGAACUCGCGGCCUAUCAGCUUGUUGGUGGGGUAAUGGCCUACCAAGGCGUCGACGGGUAGCCGGCCUGAGAGGGUGUACGGCCACAUUGGGACUGAGAUACGGCCCAGACUCCUACGGGAGGCAGCAGUGGGGAAUAUUGCACAAUGGGCGCAAGCCUGAUGCAGCGACGCCGCGUGGGGGAUGACGGCCUUCGGGUUGUAAACUCCUUUCGCUAGGGACGAAGCGCAAGUGACGGUACCUGGAGAAGAAGCACCGGCUAACUACGUG